UACGUAGGCUCCAAGCGUUGUUCGGAAUUACUGGGCGUAAAGCGAGUGUAGGCGGUCCGUCAAGUUGGUUGUGAAAUCUCCUGGCUCAACUGGGAGGGUGCGACCAAAACUGACGGACUCGAGUCCGGGAGAGGAGAGUGGAAUUCCUGGUGUAGCGGUGAAAUGCGUAGAUAUCAGGAGGAACACCGGUGGUGAAGACGGCUCUCUGGACCGGUACUGACGCUGAGACUCGAAAGCGUGGGGAGCAAACAGG
rnacentral:rRNA from 1 species